GGAUGUACGCACGUGGAGUGAGCCAUUUCUGUUCAGACUGCGGUGUGCUUCGUGUGUAGUAAUUGUUUUUUUUGUGCGUGUGUUCCUCUUAAACUGCAAAUGAUUGAGAUGAGCUUUCUCCUUAUCGAUAGACUUUAAGUUCUGGAGCGAUAGCCAAAAAAUAUCUCACUGGUUGUAUCAGACUCAUGCUCUGGCUUACAAGCCACAUUGAAAUCAACCAAUAAAAUGUAACUCCCAGAGCAUGGGUUAAAAUAGCAGAAAUGGCUAGCAACACCAGUAUCGGAACAGCUCAUGCUCUGGCAGACGAGUAAUGAGCUUUACAACAAAAGCAGUGUAACUGCCAGAGCAUGGGGCUGAAUAGCUCACAGGCUAGGGAGCAUGGUGCCCACGUGCAAGAGAGCGUGGCACCAGCUCCGAUACUAGUAUCGCCAAAUCAGGAUGGAUGCGUGAGCUGGCAGCUAUUCGACAACGAUAAAGACGGCAAUGUCACAGUCAUCACAGUCACAGUCUUGCCGUAUUGGUGGCUUUUGCUGAUAUCGAGUGAAGGCCUUUACCCGUAGCAAAAAACUGCAGCUUUUGCGAUGCAUCGAAAAACACCCCUUGCUCUGGCAGGUAAGUCAUAUAUACUAUGGCAAUAAAACCCUUACUGCCAGGGCAUGGGGUGCAAUAGCUGCGGGGCUACGGGGAUCGGUGCCGGAGUUUAAGAAGCUGUGGCAGCAGCUCAGGUACCGCUAUCGGCAGAUUCAGACGCGCGUAGACGCUGCUAGCCGCAAUGGCGAAAAUCCUAGGUACAGGCCAAAAUGGUUCGCGUACGAGGCCAUGGCCUUCCUUAGAAGCAGCAGCAGUGGUGCAAUGCUGCAGAGAGAUGGCCAGGUUUCGUACCGGCCAGCAGAGGAAGCUGCCGGAUUGGGCAACCCUUUGGCUUCCUCAACGCCUAGGCCUGUACCUAGGGAGGAGGAUAUGGGGGCGUACGAUUUUGGCCCAUUGUUUGAGGUGGCAGCUCAAGCAAUGAGGCCAAAAAGAAAAAAAGACGCCCCCAGAAUUCUGCAGGCCAUUAUCGACGCGAUAGGACGUUUUGAGGACGCUUAAGUGUUAAUUUUUUGUUUUGUUAU